rnacentral:rRNA from 1 species
GGGGAAUUUUGGACAAUGGGCGCAAGCCUGAUCCAGCAAUGCCGCGUGCAGGAUGAAGGCCUUCGGGUUGUAAACUGCUUUUGUACGGAACGAAAAAGCUCUCUCUAAUACAGGGGGUGAAUGACGGUACCGUAAGAAUAAGCACCGGCUAACUACGUGCCAGCAGCCGCGGUAAUACGUAGGGUGCAAGCGUUAAUCGGAAUUACUGGGCGUAAAGCGUGCGCAGGCGGUUUUGUAAGACAGAGGUGAAAUCCCCGGGCUCAACCUUGGAACUGCCUUUGUGACUGCAAAGCUGGAGUGCGGCAGAGGGGGAUGGAAUUCCGCGUGUAGCAGUGAAAUGCGUAGAGAUGGGGAGGAACACCGAUGGCGAAGGCAGCCCCCUGGGCCGGUACUGACGCUCAUGCACGAAAGCGUGGGGAGCAAACA